rnacentral:rRNA from 1 species
GACGAACGCUGGCGGCGUGCCUAAUACAUGCAAGUAGAACGCUGAAGGAGGAGCUUGCUUCUCUGGGUGAGUUGCGAACGGGUGAGUAACGCGUAGGUAACCUGCCUGGUAGCGGGGGAUAACUAUUGGAAACGAUAGCUAAUACCGCAUAAGAGUAGAUGUUGCAUGACAUUUACUUAAAAGGUGCAAUUGCACCACUACCAGAUGGACCUGCGUUGUAUUAGCUAGUUGGUGGGGUAACGGCUUACCAAGGCGACGAUACAUAGCCGACCUGGGAGGGUGAUCGGCCACACUGGGACUGAGACACGGCCCAGACUCCUACGGGAGGCAGCAGUAGGGAAUCUUCGGCAAUGGACGGAAGUCUGACCGAGCAACGCCGCGUGAGUGAAGAAGGUUUUCGGAUCGUAAAGCUCUGUUGUAAGAGAAGAACGAGUGUGAGAGUGGAAAGUUCACACUGUGACGGUAUCUUACCAGAAAGGGACGGCUAACUACGUGCCAGCCGCCGCAGUAA